AGCGAACGCUGGCGGUAGGCCUAACACAUGCAAGUCGAACGGCAGCACAGUAAGAGCUUGCUCUUACGGGUGGCGAGUGGCGGACGGGUGAGGAAUACAUCGGAAUCUACUUUUUCGUGGGGGAUAACGUAGGGAAACUUACGCUAAUACCGCAUACGACCUACGGGUGAAAGCAGGGGAUCUUCGGACCUUGCGCGAUUGAAUGAGCCGAUGUCGGAUUAGCUAGUUGGCGGGGUAAAGGCCCACCAAGGCGACGAUCCGUAGCUGGUCUGAGAGGAUGAUCAGCCACACUGGAACUGAGACACGGUCCAGACUCCUACGGGAGGCAGCAGUGGGGAAUAUUGGACAAUGGGCGCAAGCCUGAUCCAGCCAUACCACGUGGGUGAAGAAGGCCUUCGGGUUGUAAAGCCCUUUUGUUGGGAAAGAAAAGCAGCAGGUUAAUACCCCGCUGUUCUGACGGUACCCAAAGAAUAAGCACCGGCUAACUUCGUG
rnacentral:rRNA from 1 species